rnacentral:lncRNA from 1 species
AGGGGCAGCAGCUGGGCAGAAAAGAGAAUGACAAUUUUGCCAGGACAGCCCAAUGACCGUGUUGUGCCGUAUCCCUGUGGCCUCGUGCAGGGCUGGAGAGACUCAGCUAAUCUGCACCUUGAGGAUCCUCACCAAUAUGUGGAGUCAGAGCACGCUGCUGCCAGAGGACUUGCUAAGCCAUGGAAAUGUCACCAUAUGAAGUUGAGGAAAUUACAAGCAUGGAAAUAUAAGCAUGGCACAACACUCCGGUCAACUCCCAAAUCCCCAUUCUUCUUAUAAAUCAGGGAAAUUACAAUUUUUUUCUAACCAAAUGAGGCAUCAGAAUCAGUUCCAGCAUGUGAAUGUGUGCCCUAGAGAUCUCAACACCUUCAGAGCAAUGCAAGUACACACAACACCUAAAUUAGCUCUGAUAGCAUGCAAGGGAGCACGGAGGCAAAUUCCACAAAUCUGAAUCCUCCUUUCAACACAGCUAAUUCAAUCC